CACAUGCAAGUCGUGCGAGAAAGUAUCUUCGGAUAUGAGUAGAGCGGCGGACGGGUGAGUAACGCGUAGGAAUCUACCUAGUAGAAGGGGAUAGCCCGGGGAAACCCGGAUUAAUACCGUAUACCUCCUUCGGGAGAAAGAAGGCCUCUCUUUGAAGCUUUCGCUACUAGAUGAGCCUGCGUAAGAUUAGCUUGUUGGUGAGGUAAAGGCUCACCAAGGCUACGAUCUUUAGCUGGUCUGAGAGGACGAUCAGCCACAUUGGGACUGAGACACGGCCCAGACUCCUACGGGAGGCAGCAGUGGGGAAUAUUGGACAAUGGGCGCAAGCCUGAUCCAGCCAUACCGCGUGUGUGAAGAAGGCCUUCGGGUUGUAAAGCACUUUAAGCAGGGAGAAAAAGUUAUAAGUUAAUACCUUAUAACCCUGAUGUUACCUGCAGAAUAAGCACCGGCUAAUUCCGUGCCAGCAGCCGCGGUAAUACGGAAGGUGCAAGCGUUAAUCGGAAUUACUGGGCGUAAAGCGCGCGUAGGUGGUUUGUUAAGUUGGAUGUGAAAGCCCUGGGCUCAACCUAGGAACUGCAUCCAAAACUAACUCACUAGAGUACGAUAGAGGGAGGUAGAAUUCAUAGUGUAGCGGUGGAAUGCGUAGAUAUUAUGAAGAAUACCAGUGGCGAAGGCGGCCUCCUGGAUCUGUACUGACACUGAGGUGCGAAAGCGUGGGUAGCGAACAGGAUUAGAUACCCUGGUAGUCCACGCCGUAAACGAUGACAACUAGCUGUUGGGAGACUAUGUCUUUCAGUGGCGCAGCUAACGCUUUAAGUUGUCCGCCUGGGGAGUACGGCCGCAAGGCUA
rnacentral:rRNA from 1 species